UUGCGGACAGUGUCUGGUGGGUAGUUUGACUGGGGCGGUCUCCUCCUAAAGAGUAACGGAGGAGCACGAAGGUUGGCUAAUCCUGGUCGGACAUCAGGAGGUUAGUGCAAUGGCAUAAGCCAGCUUGACUGCGAGCGUGACGGCGCGAGCAGGUGCGAAAGCAGGUCAUAGUGAUCCGGUGGUUCUGAAUGGAAGGGCCAUCGCUCAACGGAUAAAAGGUACUCCGGGGAUAACAGGCUGAUACCGCCCAAGAGUUCAUAUCGACGGCGGUGUUUGGCACCUCGAUGUCGGCUCAUCACAUCCUGGGGCUGAAGUAGGUCCCAAGGGUAUGGCUGUUCGCCAUUUAAAGUGGUACGCGAGCUGGGUUUAGAACGUCGUGAGACAGUUCGGUCCCUA
rnacentral:rRNA from 1 species